AUAUCAAUAAGCGGAGGAAAAGAAACCAACCGGGAUUGCCUUAGUAACGGCGAGUGAAGCGGCAAAAGCUCAAAUUUGAAAUCUGGUACCUUCGGUGCCCGAGUUGUAAUUUGGAGAGGGCAACUUUGGGGCCGUUCCUUGUCUAUGUUCCUUGGAACAGGACGUCAUAGAGGGUGAGAAUCCCGUGUGGCGAGGAGUGCGGUUCUUUGUAAAGUGCCUUCGAAGAGUCGAGUUGUUUGGGAAUGCAGCUCUAAGUGGGUGGUAAAUUCCAUCUAAAGCUAAAUAUUGGCGAGAGACCGAUAGCGAACAAGUACAGUGAUGGAAAGAUGAAAAGAACUUUGAAAAGAGAGUGAAAAAGUACGUGAAAUUGUUGAAAGGGAAGGGCAUUUGAUCAGACAUGGUGUUUUGUGCCCUCUGCUCCUUGUGGGUAGGGGAAUCUCGCAUUUCACUGGGCCAGCAUCAGUUUUGGUGGCAGGAUAAAUCCAUAGGAAUGUAGCUUGCCUCGGUAAGUAUUAUAGCCUGUGGGAAUACUGCCAGCUGGGACUGAGGACUGCGACGUAAGUCAAGGAUGCUGGCAUAAUGGUUAUAUGCCGCCCGUCUUGAAACACGGA
rnacentral:rRNA from 1 species